rnacentral:lncRNA from 1 species
CAUAGGGGUCCCGCUACCCGUUAAUCAUUAACACUUGAAAUCAAAUUCCAGGGCCGUCCCCAUACCCCGUCCGGUAUGGGCGUCAAACCAUAGACCUCAUUACCCCGUCCGGUAUGAGGGUGAAACGGGACGUCCCCAUACCUCGUCCGGUAUGGGCGCCAAAACACAUAAGAUCUCCAUACCCCGUCCGGUAUGGGAGACCACAAUCCCGGUAGGGUUCCCUAUGGACCUGGUCCGUCCACCAUCUCCCAGUAUAUCUAGUCAGG